CAGCAGCCACGGGAAUACGGAGGGUGCAAGCGUUAAUCGGAAUUACUGGGCGUAAAGCGCACGCAGGCGGUCUGACAAGUCAGAUGUGAAAUCCCCGGGCUUAACCUGGGAACUGCAUUUGAAACUGUCAGGUUGGAGUCUUGUAGAGGGGGGUGGAAUUCCAGGUGUAGCGGUGAAAUGCGUAGAGAUCUGGAGGAAUACCGGUGGCGAAGGCGGCCCCCUGGACAAAGACUGACGCUCAGGUGCGAAAGCGUGGGGAGCAAACAGGAUUAGAUACCCGGGUAGUCCCUGUCUCUUAUAC
rnacentral:rRNA from 1 species